rfam:Populus trichocarpa scaffold_14_contig_139, whole genome shotgun sequence.
UCUAGAACUUGAGAUAUGGGCUGAACACUGAAUAGUGUCUGGGCUAUAAGACAGAUUUAGACGUCUCUUUUGAUGCUAAGAUUUGAACUUGAAAAUGAAAGAUUUGAAUCUUGAACUCUCAUGAAAGUUUUAGGCCUAUGUCUUAGCUUUCCAUC